rnacentral:rRNA from 2 species
UACGUAGGUGGCAAGCGUUGUUCGGAAUGACUGGGCGUAAAGGGCGUGUAGGUGGACUGAUCAGUCGGGUGUGAAAUAUCCAGGCUCAACCUGGAGGGUGCAUCCGAUACGGUCAGUCUUGAGUGCAGGAGAGGGCAGUGGAAUUCCCAGUGUAGCGGUGAAAUGCGUAGAUAUUGGGAGGAACACCAGUGGCGAAGGCGGCUGCCUGGACUGUAACUGACACUGAGGCGCGAAAGCGUGGGGAGCAAAC